rnacentral:rRNA from 1 species
UGGGGAAUAUUGCACAAUGGGCGCAAGCCUGAUGCAGCCAUGCCGCGUGUGUGAAGAAGGCCUUCGGGUUGUAAAGCACUUUCAGCGGGGAGGAAGGCGAUAAGGUUAAUAACCUUGUCGAUUGACGUUACCCGCAGAAGAAGCACCGGCUAACUCCGUGCCAGCAGCCGCGGUAAUACGGAGGGUGCAAGCGUUAAUCGGAAUUACUGGGCGUAAAGCGCACGCAGGCGGUCUGUCAAGUCGGAUGUGAAAUCCCCGGGCUCAACCUGGGAACUGCAUUCGAAACUGGCAGGGUAGAGUCUUGUAGAGGGGGGUAGAAUUCCAGGUGUAGCGAUGAAAUGCGUAGAGAUCUGGAGGAAUACCGGUGGCGAAGGCGGCCCCCUGGACAAAGACUGACGCUCAGGUGCGAAAGCGUGGGGAGCAAACAGG